AAGUCGUAACAAGGUUCACCAGCGUAGGCGACACACUUUUCUUCAACCUAGAAGUGAGUUCCCAUCCCUACAGAAGCCUUGCAGUUCAGUCUAUCUUGAAUAGGCUACACCGGCAUGAUGACUGGGACUUCACUGUAACAGGUGAGAACCAGCAGCCGCUAACGCGGCUCACAGAUCAAACGUCAGGUGGCUCAGUGGGGUCUGCUACUGAGUUGAGAGAUGACCGGCCUCACCAUGUGAGUGGUUGAGAACUGCCGUGUUCCGUAGGUGAACCUGCGGAAGGAUCAUUACCGAGAUAGGGUCCUCCGGGCCCGAACCUCCAACCCUUUGCGUACCUUACCUUUGUUGCUUUGGCGGACCCGCUGGGGAAACCCACCGCCGGUGUUGAGCCGGUGAGCGCCCGCCGGAGGCCCUCAAAACUCCGUCUGUCGGUGUCGUCUGAGUACCAUACAAUCGUUAAAACUUUCAACAACGGAUCUCUUGGUUCUGGCAUCGAUGAAGAACGCAGCGAAAUGCGAUAAGUAAUGUGAAUUGCAGAAUUCAGUGAAUCAUCGAAUCUUUGAACGCACAUUGCGCCCCCUGGUAUUCCGGGGGGCAUGCCUGUUCGAGCGUCAUUACACCUCUCAAGCCCCGCUUGGUAUUGGGCCUUCGUCCCCCAGGACGGGCCUGAAAGUGAGUGGCGGUGCGGCCUGACUUCAAGCGUAGUAACUUCAAAACCCGCUUCGGAAGCCUUCAGGCUGGGCCGGCCAGACAACCCAACUGUAUUUUCUACGGUUGACCUCGGAUCAGGUAGGGAUACCCGCUGAACUUAA
rnacentral:rRNA from 1 species